CCGACCUUAGCUCAGUUGGCAGAGCGGAGGACUGUAGUAGUGAAGCUGUCAUCCUUAGGUCGCUGGUUCGAAUCCGGCAGGUCGGA
rfam:Citrus clementina cultivar Clemenules unplaced genomic scaffold scaffold_8, whole genome shotgun sequence.